ensembl:lincRNA 6430573P05Rik RIKEN cDNA 6430573P05 gene
AGUGACUGCAAGGACAACGUUGCUCUCCCGCCUUCCGCGCUCACUGACAUCUAAACCCUUAAAUGACCCCUGCGUUAGGCAGCAACUGCUUCCUGCUUUAUCUGAAGUCCUAGAGCAGCAACUUGAAUUCUCCAGGCUAAGCCUCCACUUCAAAAGCAAAAUAACAGAAAAAGAGAGUUUUAAACCCAAUGAUCUGCAAAAUACAUAUACCCGACAUUCCCCAUCUGGAGUCUACGCGACAUUUCAGAGUGUGUGUGUACAAAUCUGGUUCCACUUUUCUUGUCCCAAACAUCCCCCAUUCGCAGCCUUAAACGUCCCAAUUAAUAACACACCAUUAUCACCAUCCAGGUUCCCCGGGGUUCAUCCUAGUAUCUUCUUAAUUUCUUUCUCCUCUAUGCAACAAAGUUCGGUACAACCUUCUACCUCAACUUUCAAAGUUCUAAUAGAUGUGUAGUCCAGUCUCUACCACCUUUCCUAACAGUGAUCAUGGUCCAAAGCACUACAACCCA